UUUCCGGUUGAGGCGGUUGCGCAUCAGUUGUUUCCUUUUCCUCUUAAUGAAAAGUAAAACUGAUUCUGACAGGAGGUUUUACCUUUCUAGAUAGAAAAAUGAAGGUAAAAUUGAUUUUCCUCUUGAGUUUAUUAAAAAGAUAGUAACAACAAAAUUCAACUUAAAUUGUUGUGAACUUAAAAUCCUUUCUUUUGGGACAUGUUCAGAGAUAUAUCUAUUUCUGUAACUUUUCGUUCUUUACCUUGUAAGAUACGACAAGCGAUGACAUAAGAAUUAAUACGAUCCGGUUUAGGCCGGUUGAGGUUUAGGGUUUAAUGUUGGCUAUAGAUAUCGAUAGGUCGGACUGACCCUAAAUAUCUUAACCUUAUUUAACAUUCCUAGAUAUUGAUGUAUUUUACACUAUUCUGUUUCAAAUAAAAUAAAUUAGAGUUUGAUCCACAUGUAUGCGCAAAUACUAUUUCACUAGGUGAUGACCCGCGCCCUGCGCGGGGUGAAUGGUCUCUGCGCGGGGUGAAUGGUCUAAAAAAAUUAUACAUUUUAACCUAUAGUUAUUGAAAAGGUAAAACAAAAAGUGGCAUAUUAUACUUGGUAUAGAUUAGCAGAAGUAACGUUUGAUAUAAUGAUUAAUUCAAAGAAAACCAAUUUGGGAUUGGAAGUUAAUUUACUCGAUGUUUCAGUUAAAAAACAAGUUUACUGGAGUGUUCGGAUAACGAUAAUCUUAUUAUGGUCGAGAAACAGUAAUUGUCCUAUUAUCAAAGUUGUAUCGUUAUAUUUUAGUAAAAUUAUACUGAUUCGGGAGUACAUAAAAUUUAUAAAAGAAUAGAAAUAAAUUGAAGUAAAUAAUAUUAGGUCGGAAAAAAAAGUAAAUAAUAUGAGUUUACAAAUUUAGUGGGGUGAUUAGGACUCGAAUUUGUAAAAGAGGCCUAUUAUUGAACUUUAAUAUUGAUUGUGACUCAAAAUACAUAUGAGUCUCUUUUAAUUUAUCUUUUAUUUAAAAAGGUGUUUUUACUAAAAAAUCUCGAGGGGACACGAGAUAAGGGGCUACGGUUAAGCCUCUCCGCCCGAUCUAUCUUCUCAUCACCUGAGAAAUAAACAUAUUUCAUUAACUAAGCUCAAUCCCAAUAUAUAAGAAGAUUAAAAGCUGAAUCGAGUAACUCAAGUCUCAGGGAAUUUGAACCGAUGAAUUGUAGAUCGACAAAGGCCCUAUCAACAAACCUCCUGAAUAUUUGUUAAUUUCUAGAUGCAUCGAGGACACAGUAAGCUUUCAAUAUAAUCACUUAUAGUCCCCAUAUUAUUUGAAGUACUGUAUUUUGUCGACUUCGUGAAGCCGCAAGUGGUAUAUCUUAGUGAAAAGAAAGGGCUGGAAAAGACUCCUGCAAUUAAAACCGGAGAAGAGUGUACUGACUAUCGCUCCUGACAAAAUAUCUCCUGAAGUUUGUUUAAUUCGUUGACGCAGCGGUUACAUGUUUCCAUUUACAUGAAGUCGCAAAAGGUGUAUCACAUUCAUCGUGGACAGGUUAGAUUCCGACCUUAUCGUUUAUGGGUAAUAUAUAUUGCUUGAAAUUUAUUAACAAUCACAUGGAGGAUAAAGUUGAUACUUGAUGAUAAAAAGAUAGUAGUAAACUUAAAAUAAAUAGUCGUUAUCAAUAAAAGGCAACAAUUGCAUACUGAAAUAAAAUAUAACUCCAAGAAUGAUCAUGAACAUACCAACAUAGAACUUUGGAUGAGUUUAUAUACACAUAGACAAAAUGAGUUUAUAUACACAUAGUCAAAUAUCAUGAACAUACCAACAUAGAACUUUGGAUGAGAAAGACCAAGAAUGAUCCAACGGAAGUUGGCUAGACAAAUGUAGUUACAAUCAUUGAUCAGUUCAAUCUUGGAAACAACAUAUGAUUCAGAUAACUUGAUAUGUUAGGUGUCAAGGAAAAAUUAAACAGAAUCUUAGAACAUUGUUGUCUCAUUAAAGGAUCAAACUGUGAAACCAGUCCUUUCUAACCGAUGUAUGGAUUUUGUCUCCCUACAAUAUAAUAACAAAUGAAAGCAUCAGAUAAUAAACACAUAAUUUGCUUACGAUUUAAAGAAUAUACAUCAUAAGAAACCUAAUUUUUUCGUCUACGAAAACCAUUCAAUGGUUUCUCCAGUAGGAGCCAAGUACUACUUCCAAAGUUUUAUGACAUUCACCAUAAUCUUCUACAAAAACUUUUUGGCUUCAAGUCAGAAAUGAAAUUCAUGCUUAAUAUAUUUUUGCUAGUUUUGAAACGUGUAGUUUGUGAUAUUAUAGCUUUAUGGAUGAUAUGAUAUAUAUAUAUAUAUAUAUAUAGUAACUGAUAGGGUUUUGACCCACGAGAUUUGAAAAAAUAAAUAAUUUUCGCCAUAAAGCAAUAUUACAAAUCCCUAAUUGUUAGUAGAUUUCCAGACAAGUAUAGAAAGUAAUAUACACAUAGGGAUAAAAUUAAGGAAGUCUACAUUAAGAAUGACAUAUUCUUUAAACUGAAUCGGAAAAUUUAAAUUUCCAAAUUUAAUGUCUGUCAACAUUUAUGUUAAUUACGUAAUCAAAGGCUCCGACUGGUGACCUUUUCGGGAACACGAGGAACGAAUACGAAAGGAAUGUAUAAGAAUAAAAUUGAAGGAAUGAAAAGGAAUGCUUGUUCCUUAUCAAAUUUAACAAGGAAUGUUUUUGUUCUAUAUUUCUCUACAAAAAAAGGAAUGGAGAGGAACAAGAAGGAAAAACUAUUCCUUGUGAAUGGUGAUUUUUUUUGGGAAUGAUAAGGAAUUCAGUGUUCCCCUUCGUUCCUUGGUCACCAUUCAAAGCCAAAAAGUCUUGUAAUCAAAAUUAAGAGAUAGCCUAGAAAAUUUUAAUACAGUUUCACCAAUUUUUGAAUGUAUUUUACUAUCACUCAAGAUUGCUUAUAAAUUUUUUAUAUACGACACUUUGAUUUUACAAUAUAAUUUUAUUUAUAUUUUCCAGUUUCAAAUUAAAUUUUACUCACAUAUAUAAUUGUCUCUAAAUAAACCAAAAUAAAUUUCACAAACCAAAUAAUUAUAGAAGAACAUAAUUAUGAAUCGUUUAUACAUUCCAGACCUUAAAAAUGUCAUGUAUCAUUCAUAAAUCGUAGAAUAUUCAUAUUAUAACAAUAUGAAUCAUAUAUAUGGUCAAAAUAUCAUUUGUGACUAUAAAUAUCAGAUAAUCCUAUUAAUUUCGCAUAACAUUAUAAUCUUAGAUUUCCAGACAUUAUAGAAAGUCUUAUAUGCAAGGAGCAAAAAUAAAGAAAGUCCAUAAUAAAAUGAUAUUUGACUUUAAACUUAAUCAGAGAGGAAUGAUAUAAAUUACCAAAUUUAUUGUCUGUUACCAUUUAAUAUAAUUUCGAAAUCAAAAAGUCUUGUUGCAAAAUUUAAGGGAUUGAAAAAAUUUAAUAUGAAAUUCCUUUUCAGAUGUAUUUUACAAUCACGCAAGAUAUUCAAUAGAUUUUUUAUAGACGACAUUUUGAUUUUACAAUUUAAAAAGUUUAUAUUGAUGCUAUUAAAAUAAAUUCCCAAAAAAAAAUCAUGUAUCCCAUAAUAAUCCAAAAAUAUUAAUCAAAAUAGAUGU